rnacentral:rRNA from 1 species
GACGAACGCUGGCGGCGUGCCUAAUACAUGCAAGUCGAACGCUGAAGGAGGAGCUUGCUCUUCUGGAUGAGUUGCGAACGGGUGAGUAACGCGUAGGUAACCUGCCUGGUAGCGGGGGAUAACUAUUGGAAACGAUAGCUAAUACCGCAUAAGAGUAGAUGUUGCAUGACAUUUGCUUAAAAGGUGCAAUUGCAUCACUACCAGAUGGACCUGCGUUGUAUUAGCUAGUUGGUGGGGUAACGGCUCACCAAGGCGACGAUACAUAGCCGACCUGAGAGGGUGAUCGGCCACACUGGGACUGAGACACGGCCCAGACUCCUACGGGAGGAAGCAGUAGGGAAUCUUCGGCAAUGGACGGAAGUCUGACCGAGCAACGCCGCGGGAGUGAAGAAGGUUUUCGGAUCGUAAAGCUCUGUUGUAAGAGAAGAACGAGUGUGAGAGUGGAAAGUUCACACUGUGACGGUAGCUUACCAGAAAGGGACGGCUAACUACGUG